rnacentral:rRNA from 1 species
GACGAACGCUGGCGGCGUGCCUAAUACAUGCAAGUAGAACGCACAGUUUAUACCGUAGCUUGCUACACCAUAGACUGUGAGUUGCGAACGGGUGAGUAACGCGUAGGUAACCUGCCUGGUAGCGGGGGAUAACUAUUGGAAACGAUAGCUAAUACCGCAUAAUAUUAAUUAUUGCAUGAUAAUUAAUUGAAAGGUGCAAUUGCACCACUACCAGAUGGACCUGCGUUGUAUUAGCUAGUAGGUGAGGUAACGGCUCACCUAGGCGACGAUACAUAGCCGACCUGAGAGGGUGAUCGGCCACACUGGGACUGAGACACGGCCCAGACUCCUACGGGAGGCAGCAGUAGGGAAUCUUCGGCAAUGGACGAAAGUCUGACCGAGCAACGCCGCGUGAGUGAAGAAGGGUUUCGGAUCGUAAAGCUCUGUUGUAAGAGAAGAACGGGUGUGAGAGUGGAAAGUUCACACUGUGACGGUAUCUUACCAGAAAGGGACGGCUAACCACGUG